rnacentral:rRNA from 1 species
GUAGGUGGCAAGCGUUGUCCGGAUUUACUGGGCGUAAAGAGCGCGCAGGCGGUCGUUCAAGUCGCGUGUGAAAGCCCCCGGCUCAACUGGGGGGGGUCACGCGAUACUGAUCGACUCGAAGGCAGGAGAGGGAAGUGGAAUUCCCGGUGUAGUGGUGAAAUGCGUAGAUAUCGGGAGGAACACCAGUGGCGAAGGCGACUUCCUGGCCUGUUCUUGACGCUGAGGCGCGAAAGCUAGGGGAGCAAACGGGAUUAGAUACCCCGGUAGUCCUAGCCGUAAACGAUGGACACUAGGUGUUGGUGGUAUCAACCCCGCCAGUGCCGAAGCUAACGCAUUAAGUGUCCCGCCUGGGGAGUACGGCCGCAAGGCUA